rnacentral:rRNA from 1 species
AUUGAACGCUAGCGGGAUGCUUUACACAUGCAAGUCGAACGGCAGCGCGGACUUCGGUCUGGCGGCGAGUGGCGAACGGGUGAGUAAUGUAUCGGAACGUGCCCAGUAGCGGGGGAUAACUACGCGAAAGCGUAGCUAAUACCGCAUACGCCCUACGGGGGAAAGCAGGGGAUCGUAAGACCUUGCACUAUUGGAGCGGCCGACAUCGGUUUAGCGAGUUGGUGAGGUAACGGCUCACCAAGGCGACGAUCCGUAGCUGGUUUGAGAGGACGACCAGCCACACUGGAACUGAGACACGGCCCAGACUCCUACGGGAGGCAGCAGUGGGGAAUUUUGGACAAUGGGGGCAACCCUGAUCCAGCCAUCCCGCGUGUGCGAUGAAGGCCUUCGGGUUGUAAAGCACUUUUGGCAGGAAAGAAACGUCGCGGGCUAAUACCCCGUGGAACUGACGGUACCUGCAGAAUAAGCACCGGCUAACUACGUG